UCUCAAGGAGUAUUACAGACAUUGGUUUCAAGUGUGUGAGCCGUGAGUUUAUUGAGUAUCUGGCUAAGGUCAAUAUUUCAAAUCCUUAUUCAACUUCAAUUCUAAUACAUGAGAUCAACCAAUCCUUCAAAAGUGCUGUCAGGGAGAUAGCAUCAGGGACAAUACCAGAUCUCAAACAGGUUGCCGACACUUUCUUCUCUCUUAGUGCCAUUUAUAUAAUCUUUUUAUUUUAUAUUUAUCUGUACUUUUUUCUAGUACAUAUGUAAAUGAACACAAAAACCAUGUAUGAUAUCUUUCAAACAAGUUAUGUAUUUAUUAGUAUGAUAUCUUUCAAACAAGUGCUGAAUAUGUAUUUAUUACAUCUUACAUAUCCUGAAGCAAUUGAAUUUGCAAGAGGAUGUUAGCUGCGCUUGUAAGCAUCUAUUAGAGGCAUCUCAUGACCUUUUUUCAAAGGGUCAAUGUGUAAUUUAAUGGCUGAAAUUUGAGAUAUAUUUGGGCCAAAAUAUAUGUUUAUGUACAACUUUUCUCUUACUGCAUGUAUGCGAUAUGUGUUGUUGGAACUGUCUUGCUAAUGCUCAACAUAUUUAGAAAACCCACAACUUUACAUGAAAUCAACCUCUAUGUAUUUGCAUCUAUGUGGCCUUGCAAAUGUUGAUUCAAUUGAUGUUGCAAAAACAAUCAAAGGGUUAAAUCCUGAAACAAUACUAGAAAGGUUUAAAUGGCAAGUAAGGACAAUGAUAUGAAAGAGACGCUCAUAGAAGUUUGUGAUGAUCUCGUGCUCAAGAAGAACUUGCCCGUACACAUGGAUUCACGUGGGAAAUGAACUCCCAAUUAUGAAGACCCAUGUGUUGCAAAGAAAACAUACUAUGUAGGUAUUAUGUUUCUCACAACUAUGGAUGGCGAAGAGCUCACCCAUUCAGUGAACUUUGAUGCAGUCAGAAGAUACUAUGCCUAAUAAGAACCCGCUAAGUCGAAAACCUAAAAGGGCGACUUAGGAAAAAAAUAGGUAUCCCGGUGGACUGAAAUCCCGAAAGGAUGGUCCAGGAAAAAGUUAUGGAUAAUAAUAAAAAAUGAUAGCUCGCUAAGUUGAAAUCCUGAAAAGGCGACUUAGGGAAAAAAGAGCGUCCUAAUGGAUUGAAUACCCAAAAGGGCGGUCUAGGAAAAAGUUAAGGACAACAGGAAAAGACUGCGUCAGACAACACUAAUUAACGAAGAAGAGAGAAAAGCAGAAGAUCAAUCCAACUACUCCCUUCAGAAGCAAGGUUUUUGUGGAGUCAUGGUUAUUAGGGAUAUUAGUGGUCAUUGUGAUUCAAUGUAAACCUUUUGUCGUUGCCAUUUUCAAAUUUGUAACAUUCCAUGGAGUUACACCAUUUGUGUGCUACCAUUCUUGAAUAAAUGCAAGUUUUCCUAUCAA